AUUUCCUCUGGCUGCUUUUUGUCUCUAUAUCUGUUUUUUUUUUUUAACAAUUUGAUUAUGAUGUGCCUAGAUUUAGUUUUCUUUAUAUUUAUCCUGCUUCAAGUUUGCUGAUGUAAAUUGAAUAUGUAAGAUGAUGUUUUCCACCAAGUUUGGGAAAUGACUGGCCUUUUAUUUCUUCAUGUAUUUUUUUCUGACUCAUUCUUGAACUUCAGUUGCACAUAUGUUAUACCACUUGUUAUUGUCCUAUAGAUGACUAGACUUUUCCCCCUUAAUUUUUUCUCUGUCCACCAGAUGGAUCUAUUUCUGUUGUUCCAUCUUCAAGUUCACUAGUCAUUCUGCCAUCUCCAUUUUGCUACUAAGACCAGUCAGUGGAUUUUUCAUUUCAGAUAAUUUCAUUUUUAAGUUCUGGAAUACCCAUUUGAUUCUUUUUUAUAGUUUUUAUUUCUCUGCUCAGAUUCCCCAC
rnacentral:lncRNA from 1 species